rnacentral:misc_RNA from 1 species
AACGCACGAGACCUGCGGACCUGCGGAGGGAUCAUUACCGAGUUAUCCAACUCCCAACCCCUGUGAAUUAUACCUUUAAUUGUUGCUUCGGCGGGACUUCGCGCCCGCCGGGGACCCAAACCUUCUGAAUUUUUUAAUAAGUAUCUUCUGAGUGGUUAAAAAAUGAAUCAAAACUUUCAACAACGGAUCUCU